rnacentral:rRNA from 1 species
CUUCAACGGAGAGUUUGAUCCUGGCUCAGGAUGAACGCUGGCGGCGUGCUUAACACAUGCAAGUCGAACGAUGAACCUC